UACGUAGGGUGCAAGCGUUGUCCGGAAUUAUUGGGCGUAAAGAGCUCGUAGGCGGUUCGUCGCGUCGGCUGUGAAAACCCGGAGCUCAACUCCGGGCCUGCAGUCGAUACGGGCGGACUGGAGUUCGGUAGGGGAGACUGGAAUUCCUGGUGUAGCGGUGAAAUGCGCAGAUAUCAGGAGGAACACCGGUGGCGAAGGCGGGUCUCUGGGCCGAUACUGACGCUGAGGAGCGAAAGCGUGGGGAGCGAACAGG
rnacentral:rRNA from 1 species